AUGCCUCAGAUCAAGCCGUUUGGUUUGGAGACCAUGCUGAGUCAGCUCCAUGAUCUGUUUGAGAAGGGCUACUCAAACAUAAUUGGUGUGUGGGGUCAAGGAGGUGUUGGCAAGACGAUGCUUCUACAUGUUUUCAACAAUGAUCUUGAAAAGAAGGUCCAUCAGUAUCAGGUUGUUAUCUUUAUUGAAGUGUCCAAUUCAGAGACGCUGAACACAGUGGAGAUACAACGGACUAUCUCCGAAAGACUCAACUUGCCAUGGAAUGAUGAAGAGCCAAUUGCCAAACGAGCCAGAUUCUUGGUAAAGGCACUUGCUAGGAAAAGAUAUGUAAUCCUGCUUGAUGAUGUGAGGAAGAAAUUCCGACUGGAGGAUGUUGGUAUCCCAACUCCAGAUACCAAUAGCCAGAGCAAGCUGAUCCUCACAUCACGUUACCGAGAAAUAUGCUUCCAGAUGAAUGCACAAAGAAGCUUGAUUGAGAUGCAGAUUUUGGGUAACGAUGCUUCAUGGAAACUGUUCUUGAGCAAGCUGAGCAAGGAGGCUAGUGUAGCAGUUGAAUCGCUUGGUUCCCAGACUAGAGAGCACGCUAUGAAAAUAGCCCAAAGUUGUGGAGGCCUGCCACUUGCACUCAGUGUCAUUGGGACUGCUGUGGCAUGCUUGGAAGAGGGACAGUGGAGAUCAGCUGCGGGUGCAAUUGCUACCAAUAUGGACAAUAUUGAUGGUGUGGAUGAAAUGUUUGGUCGGUUGAAAUACAGCUACGACAGGCUCAUACCCACUCAACAACAGUGUUUCCUAUACUGUAUUCUUUUCCCAGAAUAUGGUUCUAUCAGUAAAGAGCAACUUGUUGAUUACUGGUUAGCUGAAGGUUUGCUAUUAAAUGGUUCUGGAAAGGGUUAUCAGAUAAUUCGCAGACUUGUUUCAGCUUGCUUGUUGCAGGUCAGUGGCUCAAUGUCUUCAGAGGUAAAAAUGCACCAUACAAUUAGGCAACUGGGGUUUUGGUUGGUCAACAAGUCAGAUGCAAAAUUUCUUGUUCAGCCAGGGAUGGCCUUGGAUAAUGCUCCAUCAGCUGGAGAAUGGAAAGAAGCUACCAGGAUCUCCAUCAUGUCUAAUAACAUUACAGAGCUUUCUUUCUCGCCGAAGUGCAAAAACGUCACUACAUUGUUGAUCCAGAACAACCCAAAUUUGAACAAGAUGAGCAAUGGAUUUUUUAGAACUAUGGCGACCUUGAAAGUGCUCGAUCUUUCUCAUACUGCAAUAACAUCACUUCCAGAUUGUAAGACAUUGGUUGCAUUGGAGCAUCUGAAUUUGUCUCACACACACAUUGUGAGGUUACCUGAGCGCCUAUGGUUACUAAAAGAGUUGAGGCAUUUGGAUCUGAGUGUGACUACUGCACUUGAAGAUACCUUGAACAACUGCUCAAAGUUGCACAAGUUGAAAGUGCUCAAUCUCUUUCGCAGCCGCUAUGGUAUCCGUGAUGUUGACGACCUGAAUCUGGAUUCCCUGAAGGAACAACUACUCUUCCUCGGAAUCACUAUUUAUGCAGAGGAUGUGCUAAAGAAAUUGAACAUGCCUGGUCCUUUGGCAAAGUCAACACAUCGCUUAAACUUGAAGUAUUGUGCAGAUAUGCAAUCAAUCAAAAUCUCUGACCUCGGCCACAUGGAGCACCUUGAGGAGCUGUAUGUUCAAUCAUGCUAUGACCUGAACACAGUCGUUGCUGAUGCCGAGCUUACAACUUCACAGUUGCAGUUCCUGACCCUGUCAGUUCUUCCCUCGUUGCAAAGUGUCGUUGUUGCGCCAAUGCCCCAUAAUUUUCAGUAUAUCUGCAAAUUGAUCAUUUCACAGUGCCCCAAGUUGUUGAACAUCACAUGGGUCCGAAGACUUCGUCUUCUUGAGAGGCUUUUCAUAUCUCAUUGUGAUGGGAUGCUCGAAUUUUUUGAAGAUCGGGAAGACGAGGAGCAGUGUGGAGAACAACUGAAAGUGCAGGGUCAUGCUUCAGAUAAACAAGAAGAUCAUGCUAUUGUAGAAACUUCACGGAAUGACACAGGGCAGAAUGACUUCCCAAAGUUGAGAUUGAUUGCAUUGACGCAACUCAAGAAGCUGAGUAGUAUUUGUAAACCAAGAGAAUUUCCAUGCCUUGAGACCCUUCGGGUGGAGGAGUGCCCAAAUCUGAGAAGCAUCCCGCUGAGCUGCACGCGUAACUAUGGGAAACUGAAGCAGAUAUGUGGCUCAUUUGAAUGGUGGGGGAAACUGCAGUGGGAAAAUUGGGAGGAGGCGGCAUAUGUGGAGAGAACCUACUUCAUUCCAAUCUGA
rnacentral:rRNA from 1 species